rnacentral:rRNA from 1 species
GACGAACGCUGGCGGCGUGCCUAAUACAUGCAAGUCGAGCGAAGUUUUUCUGGUGCUUGCACUAGAAAAACUUAGCGGCGAACGGGUGAGUAACACGUAAAGAACCUGCCUCAUAGACUGGGACAACUAUUGGAAACGAUAGCUAAUACCGGAUAACAGCAUUAACUGCAUGGUUGAUGUUUAAAAGUUGGUUUUGCUAACACUAUGAGAUGGCUUUGCGGUGCAUUAGCUAGUUGGUGGGGUAAAGGCCUACCAAGGCGACGAUGCAUAGCCGACCUGAGAGGGUGAUCGGCCACACUGGGACUGAGACACGGCCCAGACUCCUACGGGAGGCAGCAGUAGGGAAUCUUCCGCAAUGGGCGAAAGCCUGACGGAGCAACGCCGCGUGAGUGAAGAAGGAUUUCGGUUCGUAAAGCUCUGUUGUUAGGGAAGAAUGAUUGUGUAGUAACUAUACACAGUAGAGACGGUACCUAACCAGAAAGCCACGGCUAACUACGUGCCAGCAGCCGCGGUAAUACGUAGGUGGCAAGCGUUGUCCGGAAUUAUUGGGCGUAAAGCGCGCGCAGGUGGUUUAAUAAGUCUGAUGUGAAAGCCCACGGCUCAACCGUGGAGGGUCAUUGGAAACUGUUAAACUUGAGUGCAGGAGAGAAAAGUGGAAUUCCUAGUGUAGCGGUGAAAUGCGUAGAGAUUAGGGGGAACACCAGUGGCGAAGGCGGCUUUUUGGCCUGUAACUGACACUGAGGCGCGAAAGCGUGGGGAGCAAACAGG